rnacentral:rRNA from 1 species
AGCCAGACUCCUACGGGAGGCAGCAGUGGGGAAUAUUGCACAAUGGGGGAAACCCUGAUGCAGCGACGCCGCGUGAGCGAUGAAGUAUUUCGGUAUGUAAAGCUCUAUCAGCAGGGAAGAAGAUGACGGUACCUGACUAAGAAGCCCCGGCUAACUACGUGCCAGCAGCCGCGGUAAUACGUAGGGGGCAAGCGUUAUCCGGAUUUACUGGGUGUAAAGGGAGCGUAGACGGCGAUGCAAGCCAGAUGUGAAAGCCCGGGGCUCAACCCCGGGACUGCAUUUGGAACUGUGUGGCUGGAGUGUCGGAGAGGCAGGCGGAAUUCCUAGUGUAGCGGUGAAAUGCGUAGAUAUUAGGAGGAACACCAGUGGCGAAGGCGGCCUGCUGGACGAUGACUGACGUUGAGGCUCGAAAGUGUGGGGAGCAAACAGGAUUAGAUACCCGAGUAUCC